CCGACCUUUGGGGUGUGCGACCACCCUCCAGGGGGCGGCGGCGGCGGGGGGCGGUCCGCACUGGGUGCCGCCAACUUGCGGCACCCGGCACCCCUCCAGAGACGGACAGUAAUGUCCGCCGCUGGAGGAGCAGGCUCGCAAGGGAGCGGUAUCGGAGGUCUGUUAAAGACCUCCGAUACCGCUCCCUUGUGAUCCGUGCGGCAACAGCUGCUGUGCGCCGGGGUUUGUUGUCAGAUCCCGGCGCACAGCACUGAAGCCGCGCCCACCGCUGUCCGUGCCCUCUGACCCGGAAGAAGACAGAGAAGACAGAAGAACUGAAGAAGAGGAAAAGAAGCUGAAAGAAGAAAGGAAA